UACGUAGGGGGCAAGCGUUGUCCGGAAUCAUUGGGCGUAAAGAGCGUGUAGGCGGCCCGAUAAGUCCGCUGUGAAAGUCCAGGGCUCAACCCUGGAAUGCCAGUGGAAACUGUCGGGCUGGAGUCCGGAAGAGGCGAGUGGAAUUCCUGGUGUAGCGGUGGAAUGCGCAGAUAUCAGGAGGAACACCAAUAGCGAAGGCAGCUCGCUGGGACGUUACUGACACUGAGGCGCGAAAGCGUGGGGAGCGAACAGG
rnacentral:rRNA from 1 species